rnacentral:rRNA from 1 species
UACGAAGGGGCCGAGCGUUGUCCGGAAUUACUGGGCGUAAAGCGCGCGCAGGCGGCUCUUCAAGCCUGACGUGAAAGCCCCCGGCUCAACCGGGGAGGGUCGUCGGGGACUGAGGAGCUUGAGGGUGGUAGGGGCGGGUGGAAUUCUCGGUGUAGUGGUGAAAUGCGUAGAGAUCGAGAGGAACACCAGUGGCGAAGGCGGCCGGCUGGGCAGACCCUGACGCUGAGGCGCGAAGGCGUGGGGAGCGAACGGG